rnacentral:rRNA from 1 species
AAUCCAUAGGUUAAUGAGGCGAACCGGGGGAACUGAAACAUCUAAGUACCCCGAGGAAAAGAAAUCAACCGAGAUUCCCCCAGUAGCGGCGAGCGAACGGGGAGGAGCCCAGAGCCUGAAUCAGCAUGUGUGUUAGUGGAAGCGUCUGGAAAGGCGCGCGAUACAGGGUGACAGCCCCGUACACAAAAGCGCAUGUGCUGUGAGCUCGAUGAGUAGGGCGGGACACGUGGUAUCCUGUCUGAAUAUGGGGGGACCAUCCUCCAAGGCUAAAUACUCCUGACUGACCGAUAGUGAACCAGUACCGUGAGGGAAAGGCGAAAAGAACCCCGGCGAGGGGAGUGAAAAAGAACCUGAAACCGUGUACGUACAAGCAGUGGGAGCCCCACCACCAAAGCAUUUGCUGUACCGCGUUGACGGAGCGAAGCGACGUCAAACCGAUAAAACAGCAGUGUAAAGUGAGCCGCAGGGCGCUUUGCGCGACAGCGCAAAGGCAGGCGGUUUCGCGUAGCGAAAGCGAAUGCUUUGGGGUGGGGUGACUGCGUACCUUUUGUAUAAUGGGUCAGCGACUUAUAUUCUGUAGCAAGGUUAACCGAAUAGGGGAGCCGGAGGGAAACCGAGUCUUAAUUGGGCGUUAAGUUGCAGGGUAUAGACCCGAAACCCGGUGAUCUAGCCAUGGGCAGGUUGAAGGUUGGGUAACACUAACUGGAGGACCGAACCGACUAAUGUUGAAAAAUUAGCGGAUGACCUGUGGCUGGGGGUGAAAGGCCAAUCAAACCGGGAGAUAGCUGGUUCUCCCCGAAAGCUAUUUAGGUAGCGCCUCGUGAAUUCAUCUCCGGGGGUAGAGCACUGUUUCGGCUAGGGGGCCAUCCCGGCUUACCAACCCGAUGCAAACUGCGAAUACCGGAGAAUGUUAUCACGGGAGACACACGGCGGGUGCUAACGUCCGUCGUGAAGAGGGAAACAACCCAGACCGCCAGCUAAGGUCCCAAAGUCAUGGUUAAGUGGGAAACGAUGUGGGAAGGCCCAGACAGCCAGGAUGUUGGCUUAGAAGCAGCCAUCAUUUAAAGAAAGCGUAAUAGCUCACUGGUCGAGUCGGCCUGCGCGGAAGAUGUAACGGGGCUAAACCAUGCACCGAAGCUGCGGCAGCGACGCUUAUGCGUUGUUGGGUAGGGGAGCGUUCUGUAAGCCUGUGAAGGUGUGUCGUGAGGCAUGCUGGAGGUAUCAGAAGUGCGAAUGCUGACAUAAGUAACGAUAAAGCGGGUGAAAAGCCCGCUCGCCGGAAGACCAAGGGUUCCUGUCCAACGUUAAUCGGGGCAGGGUGAGUCGACCCCUAAGGCGAGGCCGAAAGGCGUAGUCGAUGGGAAACGGGUUAAUAUUCCCGUACUUGGUGUUACUGCGAAGGGGGGACGGAGAAGGCUAUGUUGGCCGGGCGACGGUUGUCCCGGUUUAAGCGUGUAGGUGUGUGUUCCAGGUAAAUCCGGUUCACUUUAACACUGAGGCGUGACGACGAGGCACUACGGUGCUGAAGCAACAAAUGCCCUGCUUCCAGGAAAAGCCUCUAAGCAUCAGGUAACAUCAAAUCGUACCCCAAACCGACACAGGUGGUCAGGUAGAGAAUACCAAGGCGCUUGAGAGAACUCGGGUGAAGGAACUAGGCAAAAUGGUGCCGUAACUUCGGGAGAAGGCACGCUGACACGUAGGUGAAGUGAUUUACUCAUGGAGCUGAAGUCAGUCGAAGAUACCAGCUGGCUGCAACUGUUUAUUAAAAACACAGCACUGUGCAAACACGAAAGUGGACGUAUACGGUGUGACGCCUGCCCGGUGCCGGAAGGUUAAUUGAUGGGGUCAGCGCAAGCGAAGCUCCUGAUCGAAGCCCCGGUAAACGGCGGCCGUAACUAUAACGGUCCUAAGGUAGCGAAAUUCCUUGUCGGGUAAGUUCCGACCUGCACGAAUGGCGUAAUGAUGGCCAGGCUGUCUCCACCCGAGACUCAGUGAAAUUGAACUCGCUGUGAAGAUGCAGUGUACCCGCGGCAAGACGGAAAGACCCCGUGAACCUUUACUAUAGCUUGACACUGAACAUUGAGCCUUGAUGUGUAGGAUAGGUGGGAGGCUUUGAAGUGUGGACGCCAGUCUGCAUGGAGCCGACCUUGAAAUACCACCCUUUAAUGUUUGAUGUUCUAACGUGGACCCGUUACCCGGGUUGCGGACAGUGUCUGGUGGGUAGUUUGACUGGGGCGGUCUCCUCCUAAAGAGUAACGGAGGAGCACGAAGGUUGGCUAAUCCUGGUCGGACAUCAGGAGGUUAGUGCAAUGGCAUAAGCCAGCUUGACUGCGAGCGUGACGGCGCGAGCAGGUGCGAAAGCAGGUCAUAGUGAUCCGGUGGUUCUGAAUGGAAGGGCCAUCGCUCAACGGAUAAAAGGUACUCCGGGGAUAACAGGCUGAUACCGCCCAAGAGUUCAUAUCGACGGCGGUGUUUGGCACCUCGAUGUCGGCUCAUCACAUCCUGGGGCUGAAGUAGGUCCCAAGGGUAUGGCUGUUCGCCAUUUAAAGUGGUACGCGAGCUGGGUUUAGAACGUCGUGAGACAGUUCGGUCCCUAUCUGCCGUGGGCGCUGGAGAACUGAGGGGGGCUGCUCCUAGUACGAGAGGACCGGAGUGGACGCAUCACUGGUGUUCGGGUUGUCAUGCCAAUGGCACUGCCCGGUAGCUAAAUGCGGAAGAGAUAAGUGCUGAAAGCAUCUAAGCACGAAACUUGCCCCGAG